rnacentral:rRNA from 1 species
GUGAGUAACGCGUAUCCAACCUUCCGUUUACUCAGGGAUAGCCUUUCGAAAGAAAGAUUAAUACCUGAUAGUAUGGUAAGAUUGCAUGAUAAUACCAUUAAAGAUUCAUUGGUAAACGAUGGGGAUGCGUUCCAUUAGGUAGUAGGCGGGGUAACGGCCCACCUAGCCUACGAUGGAUAGGGGUUCUGAGAGGAAGGUCCCCCACAUUGGAACUGAGACACGGUCCAAACUCCUACGGGAGGCAGCAGUGAGGAAUAUUGGUCAAUGGGCGAGAGCCU